CACGGGUUGCGAGCGUUGUCCCGGAAUUACCUAGGCGUAAAGGGCAGGCAGGCGGAUCCAUAAGUUUAUCGUUUAAGGCGUCGGCUUAACCGGCGUAGGGCGGUAGAUACUGUGGAUCUGGAAUGCGGUUGGGGAAGACAGAAUUCCUGGUGUAGCGGUGGAAUGCGCAGAGAUCAGGAGGAAUACCGAAGGCGAAGGCAGUCUUCCAAGCCGUUAUUGACGCUCAACUGCGAAGGUGUGGGUAUCAAACAGGAUUAGAUACCUCCGUAGUCCCUGA
rnacentral:rRNA from 1 species